UACGUAGGGUGCAAGCGUUACUCGGAAUUACUGGGCGUAAAGCGUGCGCAGGCGGUUUGGUAAGUCUGUCGUGAAAUCCCCGGGCUCAACCUGGGAAUGGCGAUGAAGACUGCAAGGCUAGAAUCUGGCAGAGGGGGGUAGAAUUCCACGUGUAGCAGUGAAAUGCGUAGAGAUGUGGAGGAACACCGAUGGCGAAGGCAGCCCCCUGGGUCAAGACUGACGCUGAUGCACGAAAGCGUGGGGAGCAAACAGG
rnacentral:rRNA from 1 species